GGUAAGCUGCGAUCUGGAGCUGGGGCGGGGACUACGCCACUAGCGGAGCGGCUCGGGCCACAGCGGCCGGCGGACCGGCCAUGUGCUAAAGUUUCUGGGGCUCGGCUGCCCGGCGGCCACCCUCCGAGAUCUUCCCGCCGAGCCCAGGCGCGGGGCAUGAGGAGCCCCUGGGUGUCGCCUGCAGACAACCCAGCCUCGCGCACACCUCGCCAGUCGCUGACAGGGACAUGAACAGCAUGAUUGGGUUCCGGUGUCCAGCGGCCAGCCUCAGCCGGAGGCGGCCAGUGGUUCUGCGCUGCUUGGGAGAAUGAGGCAGGAACCCACGGCAACCUCUCUCUCCUCCUUCUCCUCGCCUUCCUCUGGCUCCCGCUCCCCGGACCCGGGCCGGGCUGUGGCUCUGCUGCGUGCCCUGCGCGCCCCCCACCUGCCUCCGGAUGCUCUUCUCGGUUAGCCUGGAGAGGAAGAUAAAGACAUUUGCAACCAAGAUGGUAAUCACGAGUGGAAACGACGAAGACCGGGGAGGCCAAGAGAAAGAGAGCAAAGAGGAGAGCGUGUUGGCCAUGCUGGGCAUCAUCGGGACCAUCCUGAACCUGAUCGUUAUCAUCUUUGUAUACAUAUAUACCACUCUAUGAAAGGCCCCACUCAGACCUCGGCGGCCUCAGGAUGGCCACGAGACAAGGGUCCUGUGCAUCCGUAUAUCAGCGACCACACACUGUGGGGGGGCCAGCAGGUUUGAAGACCACACAAUGCUCCAUCAAUGCACCUUCGAACUUUCUGACGGGUCACCUGAUGAACCUGUCCUUCUGUGAGGAGCAGACACUCUGAAGCACAAUGAAUCCAGUGGGACUCCUUCAGGCCACAAGGAACUCCCACAGGGGACCCAGCAGGAUGCUGGAAAGGCCAGCCUUCUGCACCAGUGGUGAGCACAAGGGUGAGGAAGUGCUUCACCCUGGAGUGCUGACCACAUCUCACACUGGAAAGAGGAUGCGUGGGGGAGUCGCAGCUCCGCUGCUCUCCUCCCAGGACUGGCAAGAUAAAUAAGCUCUAGCAUGAACCAAAUAUUUGGAGAAGCACUUCUGGACCCAUAGCUCUUCUUGGUUUUAAUCGCUUUUGCUCCAUCAGCUGCAAGAUGUUUUUGUCUGUAGUCAUCCAGUUGUCUCAGCUCAUCUCAAGCCUUGUCCCUCUGGUUCUUCUUCCUUCCCAUCCCUGCCCCUCCCUUCUCUCCUCUCUCUUUCCCCUGUCUCUCCCUUCCAUCUCUUAAUUCCCCUAUCCUUCCCCACCUCCCCCCCCCCAUCUCCUCUCUCCCCUCCUCCUCACCUCUUGUCUAGAGGACAUUUUCCCAUAAUACCAGCUGUGGUCUUGGCUGGUGUGUGCUUCAAGAUUGUUGAGCAGCUUUUCAUUGUUCUGUCAGAGAUAUAAAACGAUUGUGGGCAUGCAGACCUUAGAUGCACCCUGUCUUUAUUGAGAAUUAUGCAUGAACAAGGGCUGAGUGGCAGGCCAGCGUCUCCAGUUUUUAAAGGGACUACCAAGGAGGAAGAUGAGCAGCCCUGCCUGCAGGCCACCCUUGGGACAGAGCAGUCACCAGCUCAAGUGCAGUAUUGCUCAUUUGCUCCUGUAACCAUCCGAUUAUCAGAUUCUGAUUUUUUAUUUAUUUAUUUAUUUAUUUUUGUGACCGUGAGAGAUGGGAACGGGGCGAGCUCAAUGUUCAGUGCACCAGCCACCCCUUCCUUGGUGAGCUGCCUGGGGAGGUGGGGGGUGGGGUGGGAUCUCUUCAGAAGUCAGUGGGAUAUGAGGGAAGUGAGACCUCCCCGCUGUGAGAGUGCACACACAGUUCCUGCUGUAAAAACACUGCUGGGACAAGUGACCCUUCAAGGGCAUUGGGAGGGGACUUAAUGGUCUCUGUUAAGGAGCCCUGCACAUUUUAAAGCUGUUUUUCCACCCACACAAAGCUCUUUUUUUUCUCUGAAGGGAUGGUUGAAUAAAUACAAGUUUGCCCUGCUCUCUGGCUCCGUAACACAGCCCCAACCUGGAUGCAGUGUACAGCUUUAAGGAGAGGGUCCGUAUUCAUUCUGCCAAGGGCAGAAGUGGCAGCACCCCCCCCCCUUUGGAUUCAGAUGACACUAAGGAGGGGCAUGUCUCUGCUUGCCCCCUUCCUUAAAUGGCACCAUGAAGGAGUCAUUUCUUGGGCUCCACUAAGGGACCAGUCUCUUUUAUAAAUCAAAUACCCAUGAGCACCUGGCUCUGCCCAGAGAUGUCUCCUCUUCCCCACCAGAAGGACGUAUACUUUGUACACAAGUAGCCAGGCUCUCUUAGUUGCUGGUGAGAGGGAGAGUCUUUAUCUCUCACCUGUGAGGUGGAAGGAAGAAGAAAGGACAGCUCAGACCAGCAAUCUUCCCUGAGGUUUCCUGGCACCCAAUGGAGUCAGAUUCUAGCCUCACCUGCCCAGUUCCUUAUCCCAGCGAGGACUUGGAUGCUGUUGUGGGAUGCUGAUGAGGAUGGUGACUGUGGCUGGAAAGCCUGUCGCUUUGCUGAGGAUCAACCCAGCACACACACACACACGCACACACACACACACACACACCACACAACAGGAAACAACCUUAGAACUCCUUGGACACUGACACAAAUAAAAGACAGGGGAAAGGCUGGUUAGGAAGAUGGGAGGCACCCCGGAGCGAGCGCUACCUACCAGGCUGUGUGAUUCUUGACAAACUGUAAUUCUGCAAAGUGGACUAAACAAACAAUAAAGGUGCAGUGGGGGAAACUAUUGGUGUCGCCAACUUCCUCAUGAGCCUGUGUGUAAUUGUUUGAUUUAAUAAAACUUGACCGUGGCUG
rnacentral:lncRNA from 1 species